rnacentral:rRNA from 1 species
GACGAACGCUGGCGGCGUGCUUAACACAUGCAAGUCGAACGGAAAGGCCUGCUUUCCCUUGUGGAUUGCGGGUACUCGAGUGGCGAACGGGUGAGUAACACGUGAGUGAUCUGCCCCCAACUUGGGUAUAAGCCUGGGAAACUGGGUCUAAUUCUCGAUAGGACUGCAGGGUGGUGCCUGUGGUGGAAAACGAUUUUCUAGUGGUUGGGGAUGAGCUCGCGGCGUAUCAGCUUGUUGGUGGGGUAAUGGCCUACCAAGGCGGCGACGGGUAGCCGGCCUGAGAGAGGGGACGGCCGCAUUGGGACUGAGAUACGGCCCAGACGCCUACGGGAGGCAGCAGAGGGGAAUAAUGCGCAAUGGGCGGAAGCCUGAUGCAGCGACGCCGCGUGGGAGAUGACGGGCUUCGGGUUGUAAACUCCUUUCGACCGAGAGGAAGCCACCUGGUUGGAAGGGUGGUGACGGUAGUGGUAGAAGAAGCACCGGCUAACUACGUG